UGGGGAAUAUUGGACAAUGGGCGAAAGCCUGAUCCAGCCAUGCCGCGUGUGUGAAGAAGGUCUUCGGAUUGUAAAGCACUUUAAGUUGGGAGGAAGGGCAGUAAGCGAAUACCUUGCUGUUUUGACGUUACCGACAGAAUAAGCACCGGCUAACUCUGUGCCAGCAGCCGCGGUAAUACAGAGGGUGCAAGCGUUAAUCGGAAUUACUGGGCGUAAAGCGCGCGUAGGUGGUUCGUUAAGUUGAAUGUGAAAGCCCCGGGCUCAACCUGGGAACUGCAUCCAAAACUGGCGAGCUAGAGUAGGGCAGAGGGUGGUGGAAUUUCCUGUGUAGCGGUGAAAUGCGUAGAUAUAGGAAGGAACACCAGUGGCGAAGGCGACCACCUGGGCUCAUACUGACACUGAGGCUCGAAAGCGUGGGGAGCAAACAGG
rnacentral:rRNA from 1 species